CAGCAGCAGCCGCGGUAAUACGUAGGUGGCAAGCGUUGUCCGGAAUUAUUGGGCGUAAAGGGCUCGCAGGCGGUUUCUUAAGUCUGAUGUGAAAGCCCCCGGCUCAACCGGGGAGGGUCAUUGGAAACUGGGAAACUCGAGUGCAGAAGAGGAGAGUGGAAUUCCACGUGUAGCGGUGAAAUGCGUAGAGAUGUGGAGGAACACCAGUGGCGAAGGCGACUCUCUGGUCUGUAACUGACGCUGAGGAGCGAAAGCGUGGGGAGCGAACAGGAUUAGAUACCCGUGUAGUCCCUGUCUCUUAUAC
rnacentral:rRNA from 1 species